GAUGAACGCUGGCGGCGUGCCUAAUACAUGCAAGUCGAGCGAACAGACGAGGAGCUUGCUCCUCUGACGUUAGCGGCGGACGGGUGAGUAACACGUGGAUAACCUACCUAUAAGACUGGGAUAACUUCGGGAAACCGGAGCUAAUACCGGAUAAUAUAUUGAACCGCAUGGUUCAAUAGUGAAAGACGGUUUUGCUGUCACUUAUAGAUGGAUCCGCGCCGCAUUAGCUAGUUGGUAAGGUAACGGCUUACCAAGGCAACGAUGCGUAGCCGACCUGGGAGGGGAAUCGGCCACACUGGAACUGAGACACGGUCCAGACUCCUACGGGAGGCAGCAGUAGGGAAUCUUCCGCAAUGGGCGAAAGCCUGACGGAGCAACGCCGCGUGAGUGAUGAAGGUCUUCGGAUCGUAAAACUCUGUUAUUAGGGAAGAACAAAUGUGUAAGUAACUAUGCACGUCUUGACGGUACCUAAUCAGAAAGCCACGGCUAACUACGU
rnacentral:rRNA from 1 species